UACGAAGGGGGCUAGCGUUGCUCGGAAUCACUGGGCGUAAAGGGUGCGUAGGCGGGUCUUUAAGUCAGGGGUGAAAUCCUGGAGCUCAACUCCAGAACUGCCUUCGAUACUGGCGAUCUUGAGUCCGGAAGAGGUGAGUGGAACUCCUAGUGUAGAGGUGGAAUUCGUAGAUAUUAGGAAGAACACCAGUGGCGAAGGCGGCUACA
rnacentral:rRNA from 1 species